UAUAACACCCGAAUUGGGGAAAAAAAGGAAGGAACAAUAUAGCAGUAGUUAGGGCAAUUUCAGAAUAAGGGGAAGAAGAAAGAGCAGGAGCUGGAAGAGAAGGAGAACAACUCGACAAAGAUGAAGCAGGAUGUGGCGAUUCGAGGGUGGAAGCCAUGCGCCCCAAAAGGCUUAGGGACCAAGAAAUUUUCGUGGAAGGCAAGGUGAUUUGCCUAUAAAGACUCGAUCUCUCC
rnacentral:lncRNA from 1 species